UUGCUCGUGGUCAAGUACACGAAGUUAAUCCAAAUGCAGUUGUCCAUUGCGAACCAUUAGAGGAGGGAGCUUUUGUUAUUAUCCUGAGUAAGAUUAUACAUCCUGACACUCAUUUGUGGAAAGAAGAUGGGUUCGCAUCUACACUUGGAGAGGCCGGUCUGGGAUCAUUUGUGCAAUGGGGCAAGGAAUCUUUGAGAUUUCGAUAAUUUGAACAAAUUUAGUACUCUAUAAUUGAACUUGGUGUGGAUGCUUUUUUUAGUUAAUUUAUAUGAUGUUUCACUUGUUUUUUUCCUUAAUUUUGAACUAAUUUGGCACUUUAUAGUUCAACAUAUUGAUGGUCUACAUGUUUUUUUUUAGUUACUCUAUAUGUUGUUUGGUUUGGUUUUUCUAAUUUUGAAUGAAUUUUAUACUCCAUAUUUAAACAUAUUAGACUCCAUUUGGUCGUCACAAACCAAAUGGAGCCUAAGCCCCUUUUUAACUAUGCCAAUGCAACUCCUUGCAUUGUCGGCCCCAUGCCCGGGUAAAGGAGGAGGGAGAAUGGGAGUUGUGCUGAUGUAUUUUUAGCCCCACAGAUCAAAGCUGCCACUACAAGGUUCAAUAUUGAAAUGUGAUUAUCAGAAGCAAUGGGCCAUCAUUGAAAGAUUACCCU